rnacentral:rRNA from 1 species
GACGAACGCUGGCGGCGUGCUUAACACAUGCAAGUCAAACGGAAAGGCCCUGCUUGCAGGGUACUCGAGUGGCGAACGGGUGAGUAACACGUGGGUGAUCUGCCCUGCACUUCGGGAUAAGCCUGGGAAACUGGGUCUAAUACCGGAUAGGAGCCAUUUUUAGUGUGAUGGUUGGAAAGUUUUUUCGGUGUAGGAUGAGCUCGCGGCCUAUCAGCUUGUUGGUGGGGUAAUGGCCUACCAAGGCGGCGACGGGUAGCCGGCCUGAGAGGGUGGACGGCCACAUUGGGACUGAGAUACGGCCCAGACUCCGACGGGAGGCAGCAGUGGGGAAUAUUGCACAAUGGGCGCAAGCCUGAUGCAGCGACGCCGCGUGGGGGAGGACGGCCUUCGGGUUGUAAACUCCUUUCGCUAGGGACGAAGCUUUUUGUGACGGUACCUAGAUAAGAAGCACCGGCUAACUACGUG